rnacentral:rRNA from 1 species
UUUAAAGGGCCGCGGUAAUUUGACCGUGCGAAGGUAGCAUAGUCAUUAGUCUUUUAAUUGAAGGCUUGAAUGAAUGGUUGGACGAAAGAUAAGCUGUCUUUUAUAUGUAGUUUGAAUUUAACUUUUAAGUGAAAAGGCUUAAAUUAAUUAAAGGGACGAUAAGACCCUAUAAAACUUUAUAUAAAUUUAAUUUUUUUUAUGAUUUAGGUAAAGAAUAAUUUAGUUUGAUUUAUAUUUCGUUGGGGAGAUGUAGAUAUAAAAUGUAACUGUCUAUAAAACUUAAUAAUUAUUAUUAGUAAUUGAUCCUUCUUUGUGGAUUGAAAGAAUAAGUUACUUUAGGGAUAACAGCGUAAUUUUCUUUGAGAGUUCUUAUCGACAAGAGUAGUUGCGACCUCGAUGUUGAAUUAAAAUUUUAACUAGGUGUAGCCGUUUAGUUGGU